GACGAACCGAGCGAACGUUGUUCGGAAUCACUGGGCUUAAAGGGCGCGUAGGCGGGUGCUCAAGUCCGUGGUGAAAUCCUCCGGCUCAACCGGAGAACUGCCUCGGAUACUGGGCGUCUCGAGUGUGGUAGGGGUAUGCGGAACUUUCGGUGGAGCGGUGAAAUGCGUUGAUAUCGAUAGGAACUCCGGUGGCGAAGGCGGCAUACUGGACCACCACUGACGCUGAUGCGCGAAAGCCAGGGGAGCAAACGGG
rnacentral:rRNA from 1 species